rnacentral:siRNA from 1 species
UAUUGGGGGCUUUUAUAAGAAU